rnacentral:rRNA from 1 species
GCGCAGCUUACACAUGCAGUCGAGCGGUAACAGGGGGUGCUUGCACCCCGCUGACGAGCGGCGGACGGGUGAGUAAUGCAUAGGAAUCUGCCCAGUAGUGGGGGAUAGCCCGGGGAAACCCGGAUUAAUACCGCAUACGCCCUUUGGGGGAAAGCAGGGGAUCUUCGGACCUUGCGCUAUUGGAUGAGCCUAUGUCGGAUUAGCUAGUUGGUGGGGUAAAGGCCUACCAAGGCGACGAUCCGUAGCUGGUCUGAGAGGAUGAUCAGCCACAUCGGGACUGAGACACGGCCCGAACUCCUACGGGAGGCAGCAGUGGGGAAUAUUGGACAAUGGGGGCAACCCUGAUCCAGCCAUGCCGCGUGUGUGAAGAAGGCUUUCGGGUUGUAAAGCACUUUCAGUGAGGAGGAAAACCUUCUGGUUAAUACCCAUGAGGCUUGACGUUACUCACAGAAGAAGCACCGGCUAACUCCGUGCCAGCAGCCGCGGUAAUACGGAGGGUGCAAGCGUUAAUCGGAAUUACUGGGCGUAAAGCGCGCGUAGGUGGUUUGAUAAGCGAGAUGUGAAAGCCCCGGGCUUAACCUGGGAACGGCAUUUCGA